CAAGGUCUCCGUUGGUGAACCAGCGGAGGGAUCAUUACCGAGUUUACAACUCCCAAACCCCUGUGAACAUACCAAUUGUUGCCUCGGCGGAUCAGCCCGCUCCCGGUAAAACGGGACGGCCCGCCAGAGGACCCCUAAACUCUGUUUCUAUAUGUAACUUCUGAGUAAAACCAUAAAUAAAUCAAAACUUUCAACAACGGAUCUCUUGGUUCUGGCAUCGAUGAAGAACGCAGCAAAAUGCGAUAAGUAAUGUGAAUUGCAGAAUUCAGUGAAUCAUCGAAUCUUUGAACGCACAUUGCGCCCGCCAGUAUUCUGGCGGGCAUGCCUGUUCGAGCGUCAUUUCAACCCUCAAGCCCCCGGGUUUGGUGUUGGGGAUCGGCGAGCCCUUGCGGCAAGCCGGCCCCGAAAUCUAGUGGCGGUCUCGCUGCAGCUUCCAUUGCGUAGUAGUAAAACCCUCGCAACUGGUACGCGGCGCGGCCAAGCCGUUAAACCCCCAACUUCUGAAUGUUGACCUCGGAUCAGGUAGGAAUACCCGCUGAACUUAAGCAUAC
rnacentral:rRNA from 1 species